rnacentral:rRNA from 1 species
AUUGAACGCUGGCGGCAUGCCUUACACAUGCAAGUCGAACGGUAACGGGCCUUCGGGUGCCGCCGAGUGGCGAACGGGUGAGUAAUACAUCGGAACGUGCCCGAUCGUGGGGGAUAACGAGGCGAAAGCCUUGCUAAUACCGCAUACGAUCUACGGAUGAAAGCAGGGGACCGCAAGGCCUUGCGCGGACGGAGCGGCCGAUGGCAGAUUAGGUAGUUGGUGGGAUAAAAGCUUACCAAGCCGACGAUCUGUAGCUGGUCUGAGAGGAUGAUCAGCCACACUGGGACUGAGACACGGCCCAGACUCCUACGGGAGGCAGCAGUGGGGAAUUUUGGACAAUGGGCGCAAGCCUGAUCCAGCCAUGCCGCGUGCAGGAUGAAGGCCUUCGGGUUGUAAACUGCUUUUGUACGGAACGAAAAGCCUUCUUUUAAUACAGGAGGGUCAUGACGGUACCGUAAGAAUAAGCACCGGCUAACUACGUG